AUACAGAGGGUGCGAGCGUUAAUCGGAAUUACUGGGCGUAAAGCGUACGUAGGCGGUUCGUUAAGUUAGGUGUGAAAGCCCCGGGCUUAACCCGGGAACUGCAUUUAAAACUGGCGAACUAGAGUUGAGUAGAGGGGAGUGGAAUUUCAGGUGUAGCGGUGAAAUGCGUAGAGAUCUGAAGGAACACCAGUGGCGAAGGCGACUCCCUGGACUCGAACUGACGCUGAGGUACGAAAGCGUGGGUAGCAAACGGGAUUAGAUACCCUAGUAGUCC
rnacentral:rRNA from 1 species